AUUGAACGCUGGCGGCAGGCCUAACACAUGCAAGUCGAGUGGUAACAGGAAACAGCUUGCUGUUUCGCUGACGAGUGGCGGACGGGUGAGUAAUGUCUGGGAAACUGCCUGAUGGAGGGGGAUAACUACUGGAAACGGUAGCUAAUACCGCAUAACGUCGCAAGACCAAAGAGGGGGACCUUCGGGCCUCUUGCCAUCAGAUGUGCCCAGAUGGGAUUAGCUAGUAGGUGGGGUAACGGCUCACCUAGGCGACGAUCCCUAGCUGGUCUGAGAGGAUGACCAGCCACACUGGAACUGAGACACGGUCCAGACUCCUACGGGAGGCAGCAGUGGGGAAUAUUGCACAAUGGGCGCAAGCCUGAUGCAGCCAUGCCGCGUGUAUGAAGAAGGCCUUCGGGUUGUAAAGUACUUUCAGCGGGGAGGAAGGGAGUAAAGUUAAUACCUUUGCUCAUUGACGUUACCCGCAGAAGAAGCACCGGCUAACUCCGUG
rnacentral:rRNA from 1 species